AUUGAACGCUGGCGGCAGGCUUAACACAUGCAAGUCGAGCGGGGUGAUGGUGCUUGCACUAUCACUUAGCGGCGGACGGGUGAGUAAUGCUUAGGAAUCUGCCUAUUAGUGGGGGACAACAUCUCGAAAGGGAUGCUAAUACCGCAUACGUCCUACGGGUGAAAGCAGGGUCUCACUUGUGACCUUGCGCUAAUAUAUGAGCCUAAGUCGGAUUAGCUAGUUGGGGGGGUAAAGGCCUACCAAGGCGACGAUCUGUAGCGGGUCUGAGAGGAUGAUCCGCCACACUGGGACUGAGACACGGCCCAGACUCCUACGGGAGGCAGCAGUGGGGAAUAUUGGACAAUGGGGGGAACCCUGAUCCAGCCAUGCCGCGUGUGUGAAGAAGGCCUUAUGGUUGUAAAGCACUUUAAGCGAGGAGGAGGCUCUUUUGGUUAAUACCCAAGAUGAGUGGACGUUACUCGCAGAAUAAGCACCGGCUAACUCUGUGCCAGCCGCCGCGGUAA
rnacentral:rRNA from 1 species